UACGUAGGUGGCUAGCGUUGUCCGGAUUUACUGGGCGUAAAGCGUGCGCAGGCGGUUUUGUAAGCCAGAUGUGAAAUCCCCGGGCUUAACCUGGGAAUGGCAUUUGGGACUGCAAGGCUCGAGUGCGGCAGAGGAGACUGGAAUUCCUGGUGUAGCAGUGAAAUGCGUAGAUAUCAGGAGGAACACCGAUGGCGAAGGCAGGUCUCUGGGCUGACACUGACGCUCAUGCACGAAAGCGUGGGGAGCAAACAGG
rnacentral:rRNA from 1 species